rnacentral:tRNA from 1 species
GAUAUUGCGCCGGUCUGACGGAUAGCUUUGAUAUUGCUAAAUAUGGAGUAAAACCCCAAUAUCU